AAUUUUGAACAAAAGUAGCACUGAACUGUCACUGUGGGAUGUGCAAACCUAAAGAAUUAAGGGCUCCCCCAAAAAAGGGCCUCGGGCUCUCCACGACUACAUAUCCCAGAAAGCCCUGCGCGCGGGUUCUCCUUCCGGCUAGUUUCCCCUGACUUCCUGGCAGCCCCAGGCGACUGAGACCGGGACGGAAACUCAGAGGCAGACACCUGUGCCUCAGCAUGGAGAAGAGCCUACCACCGAGCCCACAAGCCCAGACAUGGUUACCUUUUUGCGUGGCCGAAGCUUGUCCCGCCAUUCCUUCAAGUUCUGGUUAUGGCUCUCAUCUAGGGCCUUCAGCUUCUGGGUUUCAUGUUCUACCAGGAGGUGACACUUUUCAUUCUGGAACAAAUUCCAGGCAGAACAGAAGAAAUUUGUGGUAAGGACGAGGACAUGGACCUGACUGACGCACUCCCAACUUUACUGUUCUCUUAGGGUGGAGAAGCACCUUGCAGUUCUUAGCAGAGCCCACUCUCUGGCACCCACCUCGAAGGAGUUCCUGCUUCUUAGUGAGACACUCGCGCUCUUUGUCACAGAUCUCCC